AGGGCACCACCAGGAGUGGAGCCUGCGGCUUAAUUUGACUCAACACGGGGAAACUCACCCGGCCCGGACACCGGAAGGAUUGACAGAUUGAUAGCUCUUUCUUGAUUCGGUGGAUGGUGGUGCAUGGCCGUUCUUAGUUGGUGGAGCGAUCUGUCUGGUUAAUUCCGAUAACGAACGAGACUCUAGCCUAUUAAAUAGACGUCGGGUUCUCUGCACUCGACGGUCUUCUUAGAGGGACAAGGUGCUUUUAGCACCGCGAAACAGAGCAAUAACAGGUCUGUGAUGCCCCUAGAUGUCCGGGGCCGCACGCGCGCUACACUGAAGGAAGCAGCGUGUAACAACCUUGUUCUAACGAACUGGGUAACCCGUGGAACUUCCUUCAUGAUUGGGAUAGGGGUUUGCAAUUGUGCCCCUUGAACGAGGAAUUCCCAGUAAACACUAGUCAUCAGCUAGUGCUGAUUACGUCCCUGCCCUUUGUACACACCGCCCGUCGCUACUACCGAUUGAAUGGUUUAGUGA
rnacentral:rRNA from 1 species